AUGACAUUACCAGCACAAAACCCUAAAUUACCCCAAACAUUCCAGAGGAGAGGAGAGGAGAGAGCUGGCCACCACUUUGUCUCCACCUCUCUCUCUCUCUCUCUCUCUCUCUCUCUCUCUCUCUCUCUCUCUCUCUCUCUCUCUCUCUCUCUCUCUCUCUCUCUCUCUCUCUCUCUCUCUCUCUCUCUCUCUCUCUCUCUCUCUCUCUCUCUCUCUCUCUCUCUCUCUCUCUCUCUCUCUAUCUCUCUCUCUCUUCAUCUUCUCUCUCUCUUCUCUCUCUAUCGCCUUCUCUCCUGCUCUCUCUCCUCUCUCUCUCUCUCUAUUCUCUCUCUGCCUCUGCCUCUCCCUCUCUCUUCUUCUCGUGGCCUCCCUUUACUGUCUCUUGCCUCUCCCUCUCUUCUUAGCCUCCCUUUUCUGUCUAUUGCCUCUCUCUCUCAUCUGCCUCUCCCUCCUUCUACAUCUGCCUCUCCCUCUCUUCUCUGCCUCUCCCUUCUCUCUCUGCCUCUCUCCGUAUCGCUCUCUGCCUCUCCCUCUCUCUGCCUCCCUUUCUGUCUCUGCCUCUUCCUCUCUCUAUGCCUCUCUCUCUCUCUCUUGCCUCUCCCUCUCUCUCUGCCUCUCCCUCUCUCUCUGCCUCUCUCUCUCUCUCUCCUCUCUCUCUCUCUCUCUCUCUCUUCCUCUCCCUGCCCCUCUCUCUCUCUUCCUCUCCCUGCUCUCUCUCUUCCCUGCCUCUCUCUCUCCCUGCCUCUCUCUCUCUCUGCCUCUCUCUCUCUCUGCCUCUCUCUCUCUCUGCCUCUUCCUCUCUCUCUGCCUCUUCCUCUGCCUCUUCCUCUCUCUGCCUCUUCCUCUCUCUGCCUCCCUUUCUGUCUCUGCCUCUCCCUCUCUCUCUGCCUCUCCCUCUCUCUCUGCCUCUCCCUCUCUCUCUGCCUCUCCCUCUCUCUGCCUCCCUUUCUGUCUCUGCCUCUUCCUCUCUCCAUGCCUCUCCCUCUCUUUCUGCCUCUCCCUCUCUGCCUCUCUCCCUCUCUCUCUGCCUCUCUCUCUCUCUCUCUCUGCCUCUCUCUGCCUCCCUUUCUGUCUCUGCCUCCCUCUCUCUCUGCCUCCCAAAAUCUAUUUCUCUCUCUCUCAGCUAGAACAUAUAAACAUAUACACACAACCUUACAGUUAACUAGUCCAACACUCUAA
rnacentral:lncRNA from 1 species